rnacentral:lncRNA from 1 species
AAGUUCAAAUUUUGAAGCAGCCUUCGUCAAUUGCUGAAAUUUAUAACGACACUGUAAACGAGUCCUAGUACCUAACAUUUGGGCAACAAGCGUCCAAUUAAUGUCAGAACUUAAGUCUUCACGGUUACGGAGUUCAGCAACUAUUUGCAAUAACUGAGUUUCCUCUUCCAACGACCAAGCAUUUCGUUUCAAUUUAUCGCCAAAACGUACUACGUCGCGCCAACGAUCACGACAAUCAUUAGGCAUUCGAGCCAUUUUACGACCAAUUUUCGUCCAGCAUUUACCAUGUUCAACAACAUUUCUAAACGUUAAUGAUUUUUGAAUAAAAAUAUAAACACAUACUUUCUUAAUUCUUCAUCUUCUUCUUUGCUCCACACACAGCGAUCUUCAAACGGGUUAUAUGCACGUCGUACAUGGUGAUAAAUACUCUUGGCAUCACGAUGGGAAAGCUUUUUAUAUAAAUUAGAGUAAAACAUUCUGAUUGUUUUUGGACAUUUUCCUGCCCAAAUUUGAUUGCAAAAUUGAUACUCGGACCAUCCUUGAUCCAUAAUAAAAUUAUGUACUUCUUGGGAAAUAAUGGCAGUUUCCUGGACCCCGAAAUCCCCUCUUCCAGAAGAAUUUUUUCUACUAUAUUUCUCAUAACCUGGGAUGUUGUAAAGGGCCCGGAGGUGCCGUAAUAUUGUUCUUCUGGUAAAACUAGGCAUUUCUUGAACCAAUAAUUUAACUAAAGAAGAGAGUGGCCCGUGAAGUCUUUUUUCGUGUAGAGAAUCGGCUACCUGUGUAUGGUCUAAUGAAUAGGUUUGACAGAAGUUUUGCAUUCGUCGUUCUAAAUAGUCCCAAUGUUCCGCAGUCCAUCUAGCACUACCUUUCAAAAAUGGAUCCAUAUUGGUAAUUUCCGAAGGGCUUAUUAAAAUAGAAUCAUUUGUUUGAUUCGAAGUAGAGUUUCUCAUGGCAUUCACACCUUUGUUAACUUUUGACAAGAAGGCGCUCGAAUCCACAUUAUCAUUUCCUAAAGCUAUAGAAGAGGAGGCUAAAGCAUCCAAAUGAAUGGAUGUAUUUUGUUCAGAAAGGUUGGAGUCUUGGGCUUGAAGAGACAUUAAGGCCUCGAAAUUGCGAUCAUUUUUACCAUCUUCUUUAAUGCUUAACGCGGGAGAAAACUUAGGCUCUAUUGAUCCAGAAUAGUCAUUGUUAUUUGUUUUCAAUCCUUUGUUAAGUGGAAAAUCAUCAAAAUCAUUCUUUCGUUUCCUUGAUGAUUGCAAAGAAUCCACGCCAAUAAAUCCAUGAAUCUGAAGUUCCGGAUUUAAUACGGAGGUAUCCAUAAAGAUUAUAUUUUUGAAGUACUAUAAUUGAGUAAUCACUUCAACUUAUCAAUCGCUAAUAUCGUACAAAACGCUUCGUGAGCUUUAAUUCGCAGUUUGCUAGCACAGCGAUUUAGGAAGGGUGGGACACAAACUGAGGAGUGUAAAUCUGAAAUAAAGAUGGUUUGUUAUUAAGGGAUAUAUCGACACGCUGCAUUUCCUUAUAGGCAAUGCUAAGUAGUACAACGAAAACAUUAAUGAUAUACAAAAAAUGUUGUUUUUGCUUACCACUUAGUACAAAAAAACUCAUAUUUAUUAUCGUCCUAAAAUAUGAAAUUGUACUAUUAAUCAAAUAAACAAGAAAUGCAGAAAUAUACCAAUAGUAUUUAAUUGGAAAAAUUAGUAGCAUACGAAGAUUUGUCUUUAAAAAUGAAUAUCCCAAAAGAAAUACAGAAAUAGUUAGGAAUAAAUCAAUUGAAAUGAGAAUGAGGAGAAAAUUUUUUUUG